rnacentral:tRNA from 1 species
CGGGGAGUAGCGCAGUCUGGUAGCGCACCUGCUUUGGGAGCAGGGGGUCGCAGGUUCAAAUCCUGUCUCCCCGACCA